UACGUAGGGGGCAAGCGUUGUCCGGAAUCACUGGGCGUAAAGAGCGUGUAGGCGGCCAGAUAAGUCCGCUGUGAAAUCUCGAGGCUCAACUUCGAGCUGUCGGUGGAAACCAUCUGGCUAGAGUCCGGAAGAGGAGAGUGGAAUUCCUGGUGUAGCGGUGAAAUGCGCAGAUAUCAGGAAGAACACCCGUGGCGAAGGCGGCUCUCUGGGACGGUACUGACGCUGAGACGCGAAAGCGUGGGGAGCGAACAGG
rnacentral:rRNA from 1 species